AGCAAAGACCAAAUUUUUAUCAAACGGACUCCAGAUGUUGAUGCUGACUUCAUGCUCAUCAAUUUCGAAAAGUCUACCUCUUUAUACUAGCGCUAUCUAUCAACGUCGUCAUCAAGCAACUGCUAGCAUAACAGCUGAAAGGAAUUUAAUUCUGGGUCAGAAGACAGGUCAUGGUUUUGCUCAAUGUAUAAUUUGGAUGUGCAUCCAUUAUUCAGAUAUAAAAGUAAAUGACAAAGAAGCAUAUACUGGACAUCCUUUAAUGAGACUACCUGCACAAAAUCUUUCCAUAUUGUCUGCUUCUUCUGUAAACAGAACGAGGGAUAAAAACUAUAAUUGCAAUAAUGUAAAAACUAGAGUCGAUUGUAUGCUUCUAAUACUUGUUUGAAAAGCACAAGGAAAUUGCUCAGAAAAAAUGAGCUUUUAUUUAUUUAAUAAGAUUGAGCUCUGACUUAGAUUUAAACUUUUACUGAACAAAGUUCCAUUCAAUAGCUGAAAUUUUGUACAAACAGCUAUAAAAUGUUAAAGCAGCUUCACAUCAUAUUAUUCACACUUACCAGUCACCUGAUACCUACGCUAGGGCCUGGACUGGCAUACUUCACUAUACUAAUUUUUUUCCUCGCUUUUUUACAAAGGAAAACCUUAUCUCACAAACCCACAUGAGAAAAGAAAUAUGAAAGGGGAAAGUUUGAUAGCCAUUUUCAUCAUUUAAGAGAAACUUCUGAAGUACAGCUGCUAAUUGGCAGAUCACUGGUUGUGCAUACCAUAGCCCUUUGCUGUAAAUGUCUCAAGCUCUGUUCCAUGCUAACUUGUACCAUCUCAGCCAGCAUUUUCUUUGCUUUACUAGAUUGAUCAUCUCCAUCUAUCUGGGAGAUAAUGUUGCACACAAUAUUCUCUAGUGUGUCUGGCUGAAGCUCGGAUCUCGGAUAUGGAGUAUCUCUCAAUAACUGUAACAGGGUUUGUGCCUUUAUCUGAGACUUAGGCGUUCCUUGGACAGUGAGCUCCAGAAGUCCAGGGAUCACACCUUCUCUCAGAAUCGGUUCUCUAUAUUUACAUCUAUCACUCUGACACAUGGUCAGUAAUGCCCCAACUGCAUGCUCUCGACUUUGGAGAGACCCAUUCUCUAGUACUUCAACAACAGCAAGAACUCCACCUUCUUCAGAUGUCAAAGCCGUUCUACCCUCAUCAAAACCCACCAUGGAUUCUAUGAGAGCACAACAUUUUUCAGCCAUUUUUGAAGAUUUUUUACAAGUCUUCAGUAAACUAACUAGAGAAGGGAUUGGAUUGGUUUUAAGCACAUUGCUGAGAUUAUCUGGGAGUGUUGAAAGAUUAGAAAGAGCCAUUACAGCAUCAAACUUGGCUUGUGAACUUCCACUCCUAAGGAUUUCCACAAGCAGGGGAAUGGCACCAGAAGCACUUAUAAUCGGCUUGUUAGCGGUAGAUGCAGAUAGAGUAAGCAAAGAUGCUGUUGCAUACUCCUGUAAGUUUAAAUUCUGUGACUGAAGAAAGCUGAUUAUCGGUUCUAAGGCUCCAGCUUCAACAAUGCUUUUCUUGUUCCUGAAAAAUAAGACUUGGUUAGAUGAAUUUGGAGAAAGUAAAACCAUUAAAAGUGAAAUUUGCGAUGCCUAACCUCUUGUCAAACAGAGGGCAUACAAUAAAAGGCAUCAACGUUAAGUCUCCAUUGCAAAGUUAGCACAAACAAACAGUCCAGGUUUUAAACAUCACAAUACCAAUACACAGUAGGAUGGAGCAAAUGGAAAUUAAAAGACAGUAGCAAGUCAGUCAAACUCGGAAUAUGCACACAGCAACUUCCAAAUAGUCGGGGAUUAGCAAGAUAAAUAUCUGCACCACGAGUACAUUUGUACCACUAUCACAAUUCCUGAGAUUUUUGCAUCUGUUUGGAAAUGAAAUUUCAGUUUCUCAAAAUGAUCCAAUUCCAAUAAAUGAUGUCCUAUAAAAGAUGGAAUAUCAACUAAAAUUACUUUCUUGAUCUAGAGCCCAAAAAAAUCUCUCUAGUUCAAGAUUUUUAUGCCAGCAGCAAAACCGAAAUGAUUUUCUUAUCACAUAGGUAAUUGAAUUUGUGGGGUCUCUGCUCCAUCUUCGAGAACCUUCCUCUUAUCUCCCCUAAAACUAAAGCAAUGGAAAAGCUCCAUCAUCUAGGACCUAAUGUAAUUGCAAAACGAAAAUGUUUGUAAUUCGUGAUAAACAACAACUUAAUCCAAAAUGAAAGGAAAGUGCCUCUCCCUGACCCUCUGUCCCUGUUCCUCACCAAACUGAUCCCGUUAUUGUGACAUCAUAUCUUGAAAGAAAAGAUAAAAGAUAAAAGAAAAAGGCGAGGAGAUUAAAAAAAGAAAAGGCGAAAGAGUGUCCUGGGAAGCAAAGAACCACCACCUCCGCUUCCAAUCAAAUGGUUUCAACGAUAAAAGGAUCCAAUUCCUCCUUUAUAAAGGGUUAACUGAUUCGGAAAAGCACCGACACAUUUUGAUAACACCCAAAACAAAUACAUGACAUUAAUUUAAUCAUAACAUGAUUCAGGAUAUUUAACAGCUAAGGAUCAUUGAACCCUACAAUCAACAUGAAAUUUUAAACCCCUCUUUUAGAAAUCCAAUUUCCAAUAAAGCUACUUCAGAAUUCCAUGAAUUAAAUAACAAAACCUUUUACUUUUUCUGAAAAAAAAAA
rnacentral:lncRNA from 1 species